rnacentral:rRNA from 1 species
UACGUAGGAGGCGAGCGUUGUCCGGAGUUACUGGGCGUAAAGGGUGCGCAGGUGGCCGUGCGCGUGGGGAGUGAAAUCGCCUGGCUUAACUGGGCGGGGGCUUUCCAGACGGCGCGGCUUGAGCCACAGAGGGGGGCGUGGAAUUCCGGGUGGAGCGGUGAAAUGCGUAGAGAUCCGGAGGAACACCGACGGCGUAGGCAGCGCCCUGGCUGUGAAUAAAGCUGACACUGAGGCACGAAAAGCUGGGGGGAGCAAACAGGAUUAGUAUAC